UGGGGAAUAUUGGACAAUGGGCGCAAGCCUGAUCCAGCCAUGCCGCGUGAGUGAUGAAGGCCCUAGGGUUGUAAAGCUCUUUUGCCCGGGAAGAUAAUGACGGUACCGGGAGAAUAAGCCCCGGCUAACUUCGUGCCAGCAGCCGCGGUAAUACGAAGGGGGCUAGCGUUGUUCGGAAUCACUGGGCGUAAAGCGCACGUAGGCGGAUUCUUAAGUCAGGGGUGAAAUGCCGGGGCUCAACCUCGGAACUGCCUUUGAUACUGGGGAUCUUGAGUCCAGGAGAGGUGAGUGGAAUUGCGAGUGUAGAGGUGAAAUUCGUAGAUAUUCGCAAGAACACCAGUGGCGAAGGCGGCUCACUGGCCCGGUACUGACGCUGAGGUGCGAAAGCGUGGGGAGCAAACAG
rnacentral:rRNA from 1 species